UUAUAGGGACAAGAUUGUCCAUAAGAGGACAAGAUUGUCCAUGAGAGCACGUGAGAACUACCAGCUGUCUGUUUUAUGCCGGGGCAUGUAAAACGACGUCGUUACAGCAACACUGGUGUGAUCCCUGCAGCUCAGUACGCUGAGAAGCUUACAAGGGCCCUUGCCAAUCGGAGGCUUCUUCACGGUAUCAGAAAGAGGUGGCGGGAACAUCAUAGUCGAAGAAUUCCGGCGAAUCUGCCGGCUUUUUAUAUCUUUUAGCUCCAUCUCUCUAGGAGGCUUCACCACCCCAAACAUAAGCACGUACCACCUUGGCUUGGCCGUCUUUUUAACCAUUUCAUCAACUUUUCCAAUACUUUUCACCGAGGAGUUCCGGUGAAUAUUAUUAUCGGAUUCCCGUGAAGUUCUAGAGGUGGAAAAGCUCUCAAGUUUACGGUAAUCUAGAGAGCGACUAUUUCUCAUCAUGCUUUUAGUAGUAUUGAUACUAUUUGAACGAGAAACAGAGCUAUGCAACCCAGAAAGAGACUCAGAUCGGCGGCAAAAAGAAUUGCGCUGUUUGUCUUGUUGGAGGUGAGAUUUGACGGUUUGGAUUGGUGGGGAGAGUUCUUUAUUUAAGGGUACAAGCUUGCCGCAGAAGAUGAUGUCUUCAGCUGAGCACAUCUCGGAGCUGAGGUCGCUGAAGAACUCGAAGAAUUCAGGUGGCUCCGACGAUGAUCUUCGACUGUGGGUGGACAUGUUUGAUUUCAUCUCCUUACUGUCAUCUUCCAGUGGAAGGUCGCAAAGAGAGAGCGCCUCUUCUUCUUCAUCAUCAUCUUC
rnacentral:misc_RNA from 1 species